rnacentral:lncRNA from 1 species
GUUUGUUUUUUUGUUUGUUUUUUUGUUGUUUUUUUAUUUUUUUGUUUUAUUUAUUUUGUUUUCUUUUUUGUUUUAUCCGUUUUGUUUUCUAUAUUUAUUUAUUUUGAUCGUUUAUCCAUUAUACUUACGUACUACAUACGUACAGUUUAAAAAUAAAACUUUCAUACCGCGCGUUGAAAAAAAAAAAAAAAAAAAAAAAAAAAAAAAAAAAAAAAAAAAAAAAAAAAAAAAAAAUUUAUAUUAACUUUUUUUUUUUUUUUUUUUUUUUAACCUUAUUAUUACAUCAGUGUUAUGCAAAACAUAGUUGAGUAAUAAAAUUAUGGCUAGUAACUCGCUAACUCGUUGA